rnacentral:tRNA from 1 species
GUGGUUGUGGCUCAGUGGCAGAGUGCUUGCCUAGCACACAUGAGGCACUGGGUUCGAUCCCCAGCACCACA